AAACACAUUCCUUUUUUAUAUUAACUAGCAUUUUUUUCGAGUUUCUUAAAGCUUUGUUUGCAACUCUGGAUGAUUUAUGUGGGACAUGAUAAAACCAAUCUCCACACAGGCUAAUUUGAGACCUGGCAUCAUUGUCUCUCUCUGAACAAUCUGGAAGCUUUUUUAUGGUAGUGAAUUGCUCAUUUGGGGUGCGAGGAUUGAAGCAGGCAAGUGUCUGGGUCAUUAUGUGCUCAGCCAUGUCUUACAUAGGUGUUUGGAUUUGUAUAGCACUGGUUAAUCUGUAAUGUGUUUUAAUUUAGAGACAUAAAUUCUGGCCAGAAUUCUAUGCUUUAAUUAAAUAGUGUCAAGGGAUUGAUCGCAGCAUAUUGAUCCAUAACUGAACAUUUUAUCCAUGAAGUCACAGGUCCAGUGAGUCAUCAUUGCCUAGAAUACCCUACUUCAAACAAUGAAACUCACUUUCAAUCUAUCAUCAUCUUUCACUCUUCAGUGAAACCCCAUGUAGCUUCCAGAUGUGGUUUCAGGAUUUCUCUAUAUUGUUGGAGAGAACUGAAAGUCAUAGAGGACACCAAGCAUCACGCCUGACCAGCAAUGGAACAGCCCUACCUUAAUGUUUAUCACUUCGCUUCCACUUUCCUAAUUUCACUCAAGUUUCUAUUACUGAGAAACUCAAACUUGUACUAAAACAAAGAAGAGGAUUCCAAGGAAACAUUUAGGGCUCAAGAGAAAUCAUUGCUGCUUUAGCGCCUGGAGAAGAGCUACAGCUCAGGUGUUCAAUAGAAGAGAUGCACACAGGCAUCUAUGUUGUCAGCAAGCUAGCACUAUCAAAGCAUCUGGAGACAACAAUAGGAGUCAAGGAUACCAUCUCUAGCACAGAUCCCCGAACAAGAACCUGAGACCUGCCGAACAGCAGGUGCCAAAGAUGCUGCUGUAACACCACAGCCCUCCCAUCUUCCAUCCUCCACUGGCGCUGAGUGGCAGUCCCAUGUGACAGGAAGUGGAGGCAGAGCUGGGCCAGCCCAGGAGCCACGUGCUGGAGCCAGAUACUCUGUUUUUCUACAAAUGGAAAGUUUGUGGCAUCCUUGACUCAAGCAAAUUUUUCAGCACCAUUUUUCAAGAGCGUGUGCUCACUUCACCUCUCUGUAUCGUGUUUUGAUGCUUGUCCUGGAAACCAACCAUGAGCUGUGAUGAAAUCCAGGCAACUGAGUUGUGUUUCAGCCCAAAGCAGCAAAUGGAAUCCAGCUUCAGGACCAUCAUCUGACAUAGGGGAAGAAGACUUACAUAGAAGGCCUAACCAGCACCCAAGAUCAUGCUCAUAGGUGGAGGAGACUUGCUUUGUCUCAGAUGAGACUUUGGACUGUGGACUUUUGAGUUAAUGCUGAAAUGAGUUGAGACUUUGGGGAACUGUUGGGAAGGCAUGAUUGGUUUUAAAUAUGAAUAUAUGAGAUUUGGGAGGGGGUCAGGGGUGGAAUGAUAUGGUUUGGCUCUGUGUCCCCACCCAAAUCUCAUCUUGUAGCUCCCAUAAUCCUCCCAUGUUGUGGGAGGGACCCAGUGGGAGAUGAUUGAAUCAUGAGGGCGGGUCUUUCUCAUGCUGUUCAUGAUCCCAUUCAUGUGAGAAAGACCCAUGUGAUCAUGAAUGGGUCUCACAAGAUCUGAUGGUGUUAAAAAUGGGAGUUUCUCUGCACAAGCUCUCUGCCUGCUGCCAUUCACAAAGGAUGUGACUUGCUUCUCCUUGCCUUCUGCUAUGAUUGUGAGGCCUCCCUAGCCAUGUGGAACUGUGAGUCCAAUUAAACCUCUUUCUUUUGUAAAUU
rnacentral:lncRNA from 10 species